rnacentral:rRNA from 1 species
AGAGUUUGAUUCUGGCUCAGGACGAACGCUGGCGGCGUGCUUAACACAUGCAAGUCGAACGAUGAAGCCUAGCUUGCUAGGUGGAUUAGUGGCGAACGGGUGAGUAAUACGUGAGUAACCUACCUUUAACUCUGGGAUAAGCCUGGGAAACUGGGUCUAAUACCGGAUACGACCAAUCUCCGCAUGGGGUGUUGGUGGAAAGCGUUAUGUAGUGGUUAUAGAUGGGCUCACGGCCUAUCAGCUUGUUGGUGAGGUAACGGCUCACCAAGGCGACGACGGGUAGCCGGCCUGAGAGGGUGACCGGCCACACUGGGACUGAGACACGGCCCAGACUCCUACGGGAGGCAGCAGUGGGGAAUAUUGCACAAUGGGCGCAAGCCUGAUGCAGCGACGCCGCGUGAGGGAUGACGGCCUUCGGGUUGUAAACCUCUGUUAGCAGGGAAGAAGAGAGAUUGACGGUACCUGCAGAGAAAGCGCCGGCUAACUACGUGCCAGCAGCCGCGGUAAUACGUAGGGCGCGAGCGUUGUCCGGAAUUAUUGGGCGUAAAGAGCUUGUAGGCGGUUUGUCGCGUCUGCUGUGAAAGGCCGGGGCUUAACUCCGUGUAUUGCAGUGGGUACGGGCAGACUAGAGUGCAGUAGGGGAGACUGGAAUUCCUGGUGUAGCGGUGGAAUGCGCAGAUAUCAGGAGGAACACCGAUGGCGAAGGCAGGUCUCUGGGCUGUAACUGACGCUGAGAAGCGAAAGCAUGGGGAGCGAACAGGAUUAGAUACCCUGGUAGUCCAUGCCGUAAACGUUGGGCACUAGGUGUGGGGGACAUUCCACGUUUUCCGCGCCGUAGCUAACGCAUUAAGUGCCCCGCCUGGGGAGUACGGCCGCAAGGCUAAAACUCAAAGGAAUUGACGGGGGCCCGCACAAGCGGCGGAGCAUGCGGAUUAAUUCGAUGCAACGCGAAGAACCUUACCAAGGCUUGACAUAUACUGGACCGCAUCAGAGAUGGUGUUUCCCUUCGGGGCUGGUAUACAGGUGGUGCAUGGUUGUCGUCAGCUCGUGUCGUGAGAUGUUGGGUUAAGUCCC